rnacentral:rRNA from 1 species
CCUACGGGAGGCAGCAGUGAGGAAUAUUGGUCAAUGGGCGCAAGCCUGACCCAGCCACGUCGCGUGAAGGAAGACGGCCCUCUGGUUUUUAACCUCUUUUUGCAGGGAAGUGUAGAAGACGGUACCUGCCGAAUAAGCCAUGCCUAACUACGUGCCAGCAGCCGCCGUCAUACGGAGGUGGCAGGUGUUGGCCGGAUUUACUGGGUUUAAAGGGCGUGUUGCCGGGUUGGUAAGUCAGAUGUGAAAUCGUGCGGCUUAACCGCAGAACUGCAUUUGAAACUGGUGAUCUUGAGUACUGGAGAGGCAGGUGGAAUGCGUAGUGUAGCGGUGAAAUGCGUAGAUAUUAGGAGGAACUCCGGUGGCGAAGGCAGUAUACUGGACAGCAACUGACGGUGAUGCGCGAAAGCGUGGGGAGCAAACAGGAUUAGAUACCCGUGUAGUC